rnacentral:rRNA from 1 species
GGAUUUACUGGGCGUAAAGCGCACGUAGGCGGUCUUGUAAGUUUGACGUGAAAGCUCCCGGCUUAACUGGGAGAGGUCGUUGAAGACUGCAAGACUUGAGGAAAUGAGAGGGGUGUAGAAUUCCCGGUGUAGUGGUGGAAUGCGUAGAUAUCGGGGGGAAUACCAGUGGCGAAAGCGGCACCCUAGCAUUUUUCUGACGCUCAUGUGCGAAAGCGUGGGGAGCGAACGGG